rnacentral:rRNA from 1 species
CCUACGGGAGGCAGCAGUGGGGAAUAUUGGACAAUGGGCGAAAGCCUGAUCCAGCAAUGCCGCGUGAGUGAUGAAGGCCUUAGGGUUGUAAAGCUCUUUUACCAGGGAUGAUAAUGACAGUACCUGGAGAAUAAGCUCCGGCUAACUCCGUGCCAGCAGCCGCGGUAAUACGGAGGGAGCUAGCGUUGUUCGGAAUUACUGGGCGUAAAGCGUACGUAGGCGGUUAUUCAAGUCAGAGGUGAAAGCCUGGAGCUCAACUCCAGAACUGCCUUUGAAACUAGAUAGCUAGAAUCUUGGAGAGGUGAGUGGAAUUCCGAGUGUAGAGGUGAAAUUCGUAGAUAUUCGGAAGAACACCAGUGGCGAAGGCGACUCACUGGACAAGUAUUGACGCUGAGGUACGAAAGCGUGGGGAGCAAACAGGAUUAGAUACCCUGGUAGUCCACGCCGUAAACGAUGAUAACUAGCUGUUCGGGCUCUACGAGCUUGAGUGGCGCAGCUAACGCAUUAAGUUAUCCGCCUGGGGAGUACGGUCGCAAGAUUAAAACGUCAAAGGAUUGACGG